rnacentral:rRNA from 1 species
GACGAACGCUGGCGGCGUGCCUAAUACAUGCAAGUAGGACGCAGUUGCGAACGGGUGAGUAACGCGUAGGUAACUACCUAUUAGAGGGGGAUAACUAUUGGAAACGAUAGCUAAUACCGCAUACUCGUAGAUGGACCUGCGUUGUAUUAGCUAGUAGGUAGGGGAAUGGCCUACCUAGGCAACGAUACAUAGCCGAACCGAGAGGGGGAUCCGCCAACAUGGGAGUGGAGCAAUGGCCAAGAUCCUUCGGGGAGCAGCAGUAGGGAAUCUUCGGAAAUGGGGGGAACCCUGGACGAGCAACGGCGCGUGAGUGAAGAAGGUUUUCGGAUCGUAAAGCUAUGUUGUUAAGGAAGCGGUACUUAACCAGAAAGGGACGGCUAACUACGUGCCAGCAGCCGCGGUAAUAC